CUUGUUUAAGUGUCAUUUUUCUGGACAUUGGAAAAAAAAAAAAAUAAAAGCUGCAUUUUUUGUUCUGAUCCCUCGAGACAAAUAUUAAAGGGGGAAAGUUUACAAAAUCUAAUACUGGCUGAAGUGUAUAGAAAGAGCAAGUGCUCAAGCAAUAUCAAACUCCUUAUGUGCCCAGCUAUAUCCCACAGAGAUGACAAACAGAGAAAAAAAUGUUUCCAAACCUACUUUAUCAGUUCUAGGACCACAAAACAGUCACUUCACAUGUAUGUCUUUGAUAUGAGAGGAUGCUUUUAUAUAAAUAAAAAAAUGUUUUUCCUCAAACGGUUAGGACAUUUUCAGCUGGUAAAGAGCUCUGUAUCUACAGACAAAACAUUUGGGGUUUUAAUUGUGGGAAACUAAUUACUAAAUCUAUGGACUUUAACAGUACUAUGAUCUGACAGUAUUUCUAAAAUAGACCUCUGUCACAGCAAGAAUAUAUCUCUUUAAAUAUCUUAGGUGGAAAAAUCCUCCAGAGGAAUAACUAGGACAAAUAUGUUUAUGAUUAUUCAGCACUGUAGAUUGCUGAACCAGUGAUGUCAGCUAUACAAAGCAUUUCUGCAGGAGGAAAAAAGCCACAAGGUACCGUUUGAAUGGCCCUAUCUAUGUCUCCACAUUGAAAGCAAAUGCCUCAUCCUGCUGACCCAGAACAGGUACUCGGCGGAAAUUCUUCAUCAGCGCAAAAAUCUAUUGUCCGGAAAAGCGUCCUCUUUCCUCUGGAAGCUCACCCUCACAUCCUCCUCCAUUACCGAGCGGGCCAGAGACAUCUGAGCGCCAUUUCCACGCCGUCGGCCAGACUCGAGGCACCGCGGAGCCAGCACCAAUCCUCCGGGAUCCUCCUGCUGCGCUGCGUGCCCCUGGGCUGGGAUGCUGCCCCCGGGGCAGAGCUCACACUGAGGGCAGCUCAGUUCCCGCACGGUGGGCUUGCCAAGCAAAGCUGCUAAUUAAUAACUGCAAAUUCACAGGUGGUACGUUACUGGCCCCAUGAGUACCAUCCCAAAUCAUUUUCCUGCAUGCAGUUCAGCACACAGAAAUCCUGAGUUAUUAAUAUUGCAAACAAUAUUAUUAACACUGUUGCAAAUAAUAUACAAAACAAAUAAAAUAUUCAGCACAUGUUAACUCUGCA
rnacentral:lncRNA from 1 species